rnacentral:rRNA from 1 species
UACGUAGGGUGCGAGCGUUGUCCGGAAUUCUUGGGCGUAAAGAGCUCGUAGGUUGCUUGUCGCGUCUGCCGUGAAAGCCCGUGGCUUAACUACGGGUCUGCGGUGGAUACGGGCAGGCUAGAGUGCGGUAGGGGAGACUGGAAUUCCUGGUGUAGCGGUGAAAUGCGCAGAUAUCAGGAGGAACACCGGUGGCGAAGGCGGCCUGCUGGGCAGUAGCUGACGCUGAGGCGCGACAGCGCGGGGAGCAAACAGG